rnacentral:rRNA from 1 species
GAACGCUAGCUACAGGCUUAACACAUGCAAGUCGAGGGUCAGCAUUUUAGUUUGCUUGCAAACUGAAGAUGGCGACCGGCGCACGGGUGAGUAACACGUAUCCAACCUGCCGAUAACUCCGGGAUAGCCUUUCGAAAGAAAGAUUAAUACCGGAUAGCAUACGAAUAUCGCAUGAUAUUUUUAUUAAAGAAUUUCGGUUAUCGAUGGGGAUGCGUUCCAUUAGUUUGUUGGCGGGGUAACGGCCCACCAAGACUACGAUGGAUAGGGGUUCUGAGAGGAAGGUCCCCCACAUUGGAACUGAGACACGGUCCAAACUCCUACGGGAGGCAGCAGUGAGGAAUAUUGGUCAAUGGGCGAGAGCCUGAACCAGCCAAGUAGCGUGAAGGAUGAAGGCUCUAUGGGUCGUAAACUUCUUUUAUAUGGGAAUAAAGUUUUCCACGUGUGGAAUUUUGUAUGUACCAUAUGAAUAAGGAUCGGCUAACUCCGUGCCAGCAGCCGCGGUAAUACGGGAGGAUCCGAGCGUUAUCCGGAUUUAUUGGGUUUAAAGGGAGCGUAGGUGGAUUGUUAAGUCAGUUGUGAAAGUUUGCGGCUCAACCGUAAAAUUGCAGUUGAAACUGGCAGUCUUGAGUACAGUAGAGGUUGGCGGAUUUUGUGGUGUAGCGGUGAAAUGCUUAGAUAUCACGAAGAACUCCGAUUGCGAAGGCAGCUCACUAGACUGUCACUGACACUGAUGCUCGAAAGUGUGGGUAUCAAACAGGAUUAGAUACCCUGGUAGUCCACACAGUAAACGAUGAAUACUCGCUGUUUGCGAUAUACAGUAAGCGGCCAAGCGAAAGCAUUAAGUAUUCCACCUGGGGAGUACGCCGGCAACGGUGAAACUCAAAGGAAUUGACGGGGGCCCGCACAAGCGGAGGAACAUGUGGUUUAAUUCGAUGAUACGCGAGGAACCUUACCCGGGCUUAAAUUGCAACAGAAUAUAUUGGAAACAGUAUAGCCGUAAGGCUGUUGUGAAGGUGCUGCAUGGUUGUCGUCAGCUCGUGCCGUGAGGUGUCGGCUUAAGUGCCAUAACGAGCGCAACCCUUAUCUUUAGUUACUAACAGGUUAUGCUGAGGACUCUAGAGAGACUGCCGUCGUAAGAUGUGAGGAAGGUGGGGAUGACGUCAAAUCAGCACGGCCCUUACGUCCGGGGCUACACACGUGUUACAAUGGGGGGUACAGAAGGCGGCUACCUGGUGACAGGAUGCUAAUCCCAAAAACCUCUCUCAGUUCGGAUCGAAGUCUGCAACCCGACUUCGUGAAGCUGGAUUCGCUAGUAAUCGCGCAUCAGCCAUGGCGCGGUGAAUACGUUCCCGGGCCUUGUACACACCGCCCGUCAAGCCAUGAAAGCCGGGGGUACAUGAAGUACGUAACCGCAAGGAGCGUCCUAGGGU